rnacentral:rRNA from 1 species
GUCCUAGCCGUAAACGAUGGGCACUUGGUGUCGGGGGUAUUGAGUCCCUUGGUGCCGGAGUUAACACGUUAAGUGCCCCGCCUGGGGAGUACGGUCGCAAGACUGAAACUCAAAGGAAUUGACGGGGCCCGCACAAGCGGUGGAGCAUGUGGUUCAAUUCGACGCAACGCGAAGAACCUUACCGGGGCUCGAACGGUAACUGCAAUCCCUUGAAAGGGGGAGUUCUCUUCGGAGACGGUUACCGAGGUGCUGCAUGGCUGUCGU